GUGAAAUCGAGUAGGGCGGGACACGUGAUAUCCUGUCUGAAUAUGGGGGGACCAUCCUCCAAGGCUAAAUACUCCUGACUGACCGAUAGUGAACCAGUACCGUGAGGGAAAGGCGAAAAGAACCCCUGUGAGGGGAGUGAAAUAGAACCUGAAACCGUGUACGUACAAGCAGUAGGAGCACCUUCGUGGUGUGACUGCGUACCUUUUGUAUAAUGGGUCAGCGACUUAUAUUCAGUGGCAAGGUUAACCGUAUAGGGGAGCCGUAGCGAAAGCGAGUCUUAACUGGGCGCUCAGUCUCUGGAUAUAGACCCGAAACCGGGUGAUCUAGCCAUGGGCAGGUUGAAGGUUGAGUAACAUCAACUGGAGGACCGAACCGACUAAUGUUGAAAAAUUAGCGGAUGACUUGUGGCUAGGGGUGAAAGGCCAAUCAAACUCGGAGAUAGCUGGUUCUCCCCGAAAGCUAUUUAGGUAGCGCCUCGGACGAAUACUACUGGGGGUAGAGCACUGUUAAGGCUAGGGGGUCAUCCCGACUUACCAACCCUUUGCAAACUCCGAAUACCAGUAAGUACUAUCCGGGAGACACACGGCGGGUGCUAACGUCCGUCGUGGAGAGGGAAACAACCCAGACCGCCAGCUAAGGUCCCAAAGUAUUGCUAAGUGGGAAACGAUGUGGGAAGGCUCAGACAGCUAGGAUGUUGGCUUAGAAGCAGCCAUCAUUUAAAGAAAGCGUAAUAGCUCACUAGUCGAGUCGGCCUGCGCGGAAGAUGUAACGGGGCUAAGCAAUACACCGAAGCUGCGGCAAUGUCUUUUAGAUAUUGGGUAGGGGAGCGUUCUGUAAGCCGUUGAAGGUGAAUCGUAAGGUUUGCUGGAGGUAUCAGAAGUGCGAAUGCUGACAUGAGUAACGACAAAGGGGGUGAAAAACCUCCUCGCCGGAAGACCAAGGGUUCCUGUCCAACGUUAAUCGGGGCAGGGUGAGUCGACCCCUAAGGUGAGGCCGAAAGGCGUAAUCGAUGGGAAACGGGUUAAUAUUCCCGUACUUCUGACUAUUGCGAUGGGGGGACGGAGAAGGCUAGGUGGGCCAGGCGACGGUUGUCCUGGUUCAAGUGCGUAGGCUUGAGAGUUAGGUAAAUCCGGCUCUCUCUAAGGCUGAGACACGACGUCGAGCUGCUACGGCAGUGAAGUCAUUGAUGCCAUGCUUCCAGGAAAAGCCUCUAAGCUUCAGAUAGUCAGGAAUCGUACCCCAAACCGACACAGGUGGUCGGGUAGAGAAUACCAAGGCGCUUGAGAGAACUCGGGUGAAGGAACUAGGCAAAAUGGUACCGUAACUUCGGGAGAAGGUACGCUCUUGAUGGUGAAGUCCCUCGCGGAUGGAGCUGACGAGAGUCGCAGAUACCAGGUGGCUGCAACUGUUUAUUAAAAACACAGCACUGUGCAAAAUCGCAAGAUGACGUAUACGGUGUGACGCCUGCCCGGUGCCGGAAGGUUAAUUGAUGGGGUUAGCGUAAGCGAAGCUCUUGAUCGAAGCCCCGGUAAACGGCGGCCGUAACUAUAACGGUCCUAAGGUAGCGAAAUUCCUUGUCGGGUAAGUUCCGACCUGCACGAAUGGCGUAAUGAUGGCCACGCUGUCUCCACCCGAGACUCAGUGAAAUUGAAAUCGCUGUGAAGAUGCAGUGUACCCGCGGCUAGACGGAAAGACCCCGUGAACCUUUACUACAGCUUGGCACUGAACAUUGAACCUACAUGUGUAGGAUAGGUGGGAGGCUUUGAAGACGUGACGCCAGUUGCGUUGGAGCCGUCCUUGAAAUACCACCCUUGUAUGUUUGAUGUUCUAACUUAGACCCGUUAUCCGGGUUGAGGACAGUGCCUGGUGGGUAGUUUGACUGGGGCGGUCUCCUCCCAAAGAGUAACGGAGGAGCACGAAGGUGGGCUAAUCACGGUUGGACAUCGUGAGGUUAGUGCAAUGGCAUAAGCCCGCUUAACUGCGAGAAUGACGGUUCGAGCAGGUGCGAAAGCAGGUCAUAGUGAUCCGGUGGUUCUGUAUGGAAGGGCCAUCGCUCAACGGAUAAAAGGUACUCCGGGGAUAACAGGCUGAUACCGCCCAAGAGUUCAUAUCGACGGCGGUGUUUGGCACCUCGAUGUCGGCUCAUCACAUCCUGGGGCUGAAGUCGGUCCCAAGGGUAUGGCUGUUCGCCAUUUAAAGUGGUACGCGAGCUGGGUUUAGAACGUCGUGAGACAGUUCGGUCCCUAUCUGCCGUGGGCGUUGGA
rnacentral:rRNA from 1 species